rnacentral:rRNA from 1 species
UACGGAGGGUGCGAGCGUUGUCCGGAAUCAUUGGGCGUAAAGGGCGCGUAGGCGGCCUGGCAAGUGGAAGGUGAAAUCCCUCGGCUUAACCGAGGAACUGCCCUCCAAACUGCUUGGCUUGAGUCCGGGAGAGGUGAGUGGAAUUCCCAGUGUAGCGGUGAAAUGCGUAGAGAUGUGGAGGAACACCGAUGGCGAAGGCAGCCCCCUGGGUCAAGAUUGACGCUCAUGCACGAAAGCGUGGGGAGCAAACGAGGAUUAGAGUAC